GCUGGGUUGGGUGGCGCCAACUUGUAACGGGUAUGCUUCUGCUCGGGUAGUAAGGUGUGAGGGUUGUGGCAUGCGUUGUGUUGUCACUAUCCCCAGGAUGUGGAAGGCGCGUCCAUCUCAAACCAGGAGUCGACAUUGGGACAUUGUCGUAAGACACUGUACCGAGGUCACUAAGGAAUGGUGAACUGCCCCAGGCUGGAUAACAGAGCAGGGAAAAGCCCUCGCUCUUGGUAGUGGGAGGAUCUCGUGCCAGAAUUCUGACGUGCUAACGCAUCGCUGCAAGCCGCAAUUCGAUCACCUUGCGAU
rfam:Phytophthora ramorum strain Pr102 Scaffold42 genomic scaffold, whole genome shotgun sequence.